rnacentral:rRNA from 1 species
AUUGAACGCUGGCGGCAGGCCUAACACAUGCAAGUCGAGCGGACUCUUCGGGGUUGGUCGUGGAUUCGGGGGCAGACGGGUGGGACAUGCCUAUGAGUCUGGCAGGAAGUGGGGGAAAAUGUGCGGAAACCGGAUGUGCUCUCGCGUGGGAACAGUGGGCGCCAUUGGGGGGGCCAAAGUCCUCUUGCCUUUAGAGGGGGGUAAGUGUGCUUAGAUAGUUGGUGGGGUAAAGGCUCACCAAGGCGACGAUCAGUAACUGGUCUGAGAGGAUGAUCCGCCACAUUGGGACUGAGACACGGCCCAAACUCCUACGGGAGGCAGCAGUGGGGAAUCUUGCGCAAUGGGCGAAAGGCUGAAGCAGCCAUGCCGCGUGAAUGAUGAAGGUCUUAGGAUUGUAAAAUUAUUUCACCGGGGACGAUAAUGACGGUACCCGGAGAAGAAGCCCCGGCUAACUUCGUG